AAUAUUGCACAAUGGGCGGAAGCCUGAUGCAGCCAUGCCGCGUGUGUGAAGAAGGCCUUAGGGUUGUAAAGCACUUUCAGUAGGGAGGAAAGCUUGUANNUUAAUACUUCACAAGUGUGACGUUACCUACAGAAGAAGGACCGGCUAACUCCGUGCCAGCAGCCGCGGUAAUACGGAGGGUCCGAGCGUUAAUCGGAAUUACUGGGCGUAAAGCGCACGUAGGUGGUUUGUUAAGUUGGAUGUGAAAGCCCAGGGCUCAACCUUGGAACUGCAUUCAAAACUGGCUGACUAGAGUAUGGUAGAGGUGAGUGGAAUUUCCUGUGUAGCGGUGAAAUGCGUAGAGAUGGGAAGGAACAUCAGUGGCGAAGGCGACUCACUGGACCAAUACUGACACUGAGGUGCGAAAGCGUGGGUAGCAAACAGGAUUAGAUACCCUGGUAGUCCACGCCGUAAACGAUGUACUACUAGCCGUUGGUCCUUGAGACUUUAGUGGCGCAGCCUAACGCACUAAGUAGACCGCCUGGGGAGUACGGUCGCA
rnacentral:rRNA from 1 species